AAGGUUAACCGAAUAGGGGAGCCGAAGGGAAACCGAGUCUUAACUGGGCGUUAAGUUGCAGGGUAUAGACCCGAAACCCGGUGAUCUAGCCAUGGGCAGGUUGAAGGUUGGGUAACACUAACUGGAGGACCGAACCGACUAAUGUUGAAAAAUUAGCGGAUGACUUGUGGCUGGGGGUGAAAGGCCAAUCAAACCGGGAGAUAGCUGGUUCUCCCCGAAAGCUAUUUAGGUAGCGCCUCGUGAAUUCAUCUCCGGGGGUAGAGCACUGUUUCGGCAAGGGGGUCAUCCCGACUUACCAACCCGAUGCAAACUGCGAAUACCGGAGAAUGUUAUCACGGGAGACACACGGCGGGUGCUAACGUCCGUCGUGAAGAGGGAAACAACCCAGACCGCCAGCUAAGGUCCCAAAGUCAUGGUUAAGUGGGAAACGAUGUGGGAAGGCCCAGACAGCCAGGAUGUUGGCUUAGAAGCAGCCAUCAUUUAAAGAAAGCGUAAUAGCUCACUGGUCGAGUCGGCCUGCGCGGAAGAUGUAACGGGGCUAAACCAUGCACCGAAGCUGCGGCAGCGACACUGUGUGUUGUUGGGUAGGGGAGCGUUCUGUAAGCCUGUGAAGGUGUGCUGUGAGG
rnacentral:rRNA from 1 species